AAAAAUGAAAUAAACAAAUAACAUGUAAUUGAAUGGCAGCGCAAAAAAAGAAGGACUGAUCAAGCAAAUAACCCUCAAAGACCCAAAACACGCGGAUCUGAUUGCAUCUGGGUCGGGUCAUCGGGUUUGCGUGGUGAAACGAUGCUGUUUCAAAGCCAAUAUUCACAGCUUAAAACGACGCUGUUUUAUGAUAUAUAUAAAAAGAAAAAAAACCUAAAAAUUUGAGCACUUAAACCAUUUUUAAGAAAAGAAGAACGAAAAAAAACCUAGGGCCUCUUCCUCUUCGGUUCCCCACCGUUUGACCACCACUCCACCAUUAUAAUCGGUGGAUAGUGUGAGGGCCCCUCCUAUCUCCGCUUAAGCCAUGAUUCAGGGCCGAUUUCAACCCCGAGAUCCCAUCUCAGCUUCGACUUCGACGAAGGAGAAGGACCCCGGUGGCGUUUUCGCAAAGGUACGAAAGGCGACGUGGAGGCACGAGGGUGGCGUACCGAGGCAUGCAGGGGGUUGUAAGGAGGCGCGCUGGAGGCUAGGGCUGCGGCGCUCCUUGCUGCUAGGGUUCUUAGUUGACUGAGGUUUGUUUAAGUUUUGGGCCAUUUGGGCCAGGGGUAUUUGGGUUAAGUUAUUUUGUAAAUGGGCUUGUAGCUGGGCUAUUGGGUUUUAAAUUUGGGUUAUGUAAUUUGGUCUUGUAGACAUUUAAUCAUUUAUUUUUUGCUUGUCUUUGCUUUUGUCUGA